rnacentral:rRNA from 1 species
AUUGAACGCUGGCGGCAGGCCUAGCACAUGCAAGUCGAGCGGGGUGAUGGUGCUUGCACUAUCACUUAGCGGCGGACGGGUGUGUAAUGCUUAGGAAUCUGCCUAUUAGUGGGGGACAACAUCUCGAAAGGGAUGCUAAUACCGCAUACGUCCUACGGGAGAAAGCAGGGGAUCACUUGUGACCUUGCGCUAAUAGAUGAGCCUAAGUCGGAUUAGCUAGUUGGUGGGGUAAAGGCCUACCAAGGCGACGAUCUGUAGCGGGUCUGAGAGGAUGAUCCGCCACACUGGGACUGAGACACGGCCCAGACUCCUACGGGAGGCAGCAGUGUGGAAUAUUGGACAAUGGGGGGAACCCUGAUCCAGCCAUGCCGCGUGUGUGAAGAAGGCCUUAUGGUUGUAAAGCACUUUAAGCGAGGAGGAGGCUCUUUUGGUUAAUACCCAAGAUGAGUGGGCGUUACUCGCAGAAUAAGCACCGGCUAACUCUGUGCCAGCAGCCGCGGUAAAAC